UACGUAGGCAGCAAGCGUUGUUCGGAGUUACUGGGCGUAAAGGGUGCGUAGGCGGCUUCUUAAGUCUGGUGUGAAAUCUCCCGGCUCAACUGGGAGGGUGCGCCGGAUACUGAGGGGCUAGAGUGUGGGAGAGGAAAGUGGAAUUCCUGGUGUAGCGGUGAAAUGCGCAGAUAUCAGGAAGAACACCCGUGGCGAAGGCGGCUCUCUGGGACGGUACUGACGCUGAGACGCGAAAGCGUGGGGAGCGAACAGG
rnacentral:rRNA from 1 species